rnacentral:tRNA from 1 species
GAGCCGGUAGCUCAGGUGGUAGAGCAUCGGACUUUUAAUCAGAGGGUCGCUGGUUCGAACCCAGCACGGCUCA